rnacentral:misc_RNA from 1 species
AACCUUAUGGACCUGCGGGCGUAUACCUGCGGAAGGAUCAUUACAAGUGACCCCGGUCUAACCACCGGGAUGUUCAUAACCCUUUGUUGUCCGACUCUGUUGCCUCCGGGGCGACCCUGCCUUCGGGCGGGGGCUCCGGGUGGACACUUCGAACUCUUGCGUAACUUUGCAGUCUGAGUAAACUUAAUUAAUAAAUUAAAACUUUCAACAACGGAUCU